GUCCUUUUUCUUUUUCCGGGGACGCUGUGUAAAGGCACUCAGAAUGAUCCAGCGUUUGACAUACCGUCACAGGCUUUCCUAUAAUACAGCCUCUAACAAAACUAGGCUGUCCCGAAUGCCUGGUAAUAGGAUUGUUUACCUAUACACCAAGAAGGUUGGGAAAGCACCAAAGUCUGCGUGUGGUGUGUGCCCAGGCAGACUUCGAGGGGUUCGUGCUGUGAAACCUAAAGUUCUUAUGAGGUUGUCCAAAACAAAAAAACAUGUCAGCCGGGCCUAUGGUGGUUCCAUGUGUGCAAAAUGUGUUCGUGACAGGAUCAAGCGUGCUUUUCUUAUCGAGGAGCAGAAAAUCAUCGUGAAAGUGUUGAAGGCACAAGCACAGAGUCAGAAAGCAGAAUAAAGAAAUGAAGCUUUUUUCUGUAAUAAAAAUUAAAAGCCG